ACGGCUCAGUAACACGUAGCUAACCUACCCUCAGGACGGAGACAACCCCGGGAAACUGGGGUUAAUCCCCGAUAGGCGUGGAUUCCUGGAAUGGUGUCACGCCGAAACGUUAACACACCAUGUUUGUGUACACGCCUGAGGAUGGGGCUGCGGCCGAUCAGGCAGUUGGUGAGGUAACGGCUCACCAAACCUUUGACCGGUACGGGCCGUGAGAGCGGUAGCCCGGAGAUGGACACUGAGACAAGGGUCCAGGACCUACGGGUCGCAGCCGGUACGAAACCUCCACAAUGCACGCAAGUGCGAUGGGGUUACCUCGAGUGCCGCCUGAAGAAGGCGGCUUUUCCAUUGUGUAAUGAGCCGUGGGAAUAAGGGGGGGGCAAGACUGGUGUCAGCCGCCGCGGUAACACCAGCCCCCCGAGUGGUGGGGAUGUUUAUUUGGCCUAAAACGUCCGUAGCCAGCUAGGUAAAUCUCUCGUUAAAUCCAGCGUCCUAAGCGUUGGGCUGCGAGAGAGACUGCCAAGCUAGAGGGUGGGAGAGGUCAGCGGUAUUUCUGGGGUAGGGGCGAAAUCCAUUGAUCCCAGGAGGACCACCAGUGGCGAAGGCUGCUGACUAGAACACGCCUGACGGUGAGGGACGAAAGCUGGGGUAGCGAAUCGGAUUAGAUACCCGAGUAGUCCCAGCCGUAAACGAUGCAGGCUAGGUGUUGGGUUGGCCACGUGCCGACUCAGUGCCACAGGGAAGCCAUUAAGCCUGCUGCCUGGGGAGUACGGUCGCAAGGCUGAAACUUAAAGGAAUUGGCGGGAGAGCACCACCAGGCGUGAAGCCUGCGGUUUAAUUGGAUUC
rnacentral:rRNA from 1 species